GCGGAAGUGGCGGAAUGGCAGACGCGCUAGGUUCAGGACCUAGUGGUAGCAAUACUAUGGGGGUUCAAGUCCCCCCUUCCGCA
rnacentral:tRNA from 1 species